rnacentral:rRNA from 1 species
UACGUAGGGUGCAAGCGUUAAUCGGAAUUACUGGGCGUAAAGCGUGCGCAGGCGGUUUUGUAAGUCUGUCGUGAAAUCCCCGGGCUCAACCUGGGAAUUGCGAUGGAGACUGCAAGGCUAGAAUCUGGCAGAGGGGGGUAGAAUUCCACGUGUGAGCAGUGAAAUGCGUAGAGAUGUGGAGGAACACCGAUGGCGAAGGCAGCCCCCUGGGUCAAGAUUGACGCUCAUGCACGAAAGGCGUGGGAGGCAACGGGAUAAG